UAUCAUGAAAACGGUUAUUCGCAGACAUUUGAUUGUAGACAUUUGAUCGAUGUAAUUUUCGACCUAAAAGAGAGGAAAAGCCGUCUUGGUUUACGGGGCCUGCUAAGCUGUGAGGAUGAGGACACGCAUACGCCAUUACUUUGAACGAACGUUGGUGCCCUUAUUUCAUGAGGUAAAAACAACUUUGACAACUUUCAGGAUCUAUGUUUCUUCUCGCACUGCUGUGGCAUAAACAUUACGUUUUCUUUCUUCUGUCAUCACUCAUCGCAUUGAAAUUACAAAAGCAUCAAAAUUUCAACAACACACUGCUUACGACUUAGAAGUGUCGCCUCAACGCAGCGAGGGGAGGGGAGGGAGGGGUAGCAACGGCCGGCCGCCGUCGGUUCCGUCCGCACAUCUGGUUGGGGGCGUCUCCUGUCGCCAUCUGUCAUCGUGAAUGGGGCCGUGCCGACGCGUCAGACGGGACGAACGGGGGAAGUCGGUCCAGAGUCACUGCGCCGCGCGGUUGUGUGAGCAAGCCGUGGGCUAGGUACCGCUCCAGGUCAGACCAUGGUUGGCACUGAAGAGUGCGGCGACACUACAGAGCUGUGAACGAAGACGGUGAACGGCGAGAUGUGGUGACCGCUUGACUGACCUGUGCCCAAAGUAGUGAUCUACCGCUGGGGUCAGUGCGUGAGAAGCUGGACUCGGCACCAACGGAGGACGCAGCUCGACGAGGAAUAUAUGCUGUGUUGAGGGACGUCUGCCGGUUACGACCGGAAGGUUUCCGACGGGACUUGGCAGAACCCACAACAGCAGUAUGAACCCGGCGUGGAUGUAAUUGCUCGCAUGAGCAACCGAAGAGCGAUUUCCAGGCGAAGCUGCCGCAGAAUUCCUGGAGAUGCGCUGGGACAUGGAUCAUAGCAAAGUGGCUCUCAGCGGCAGCUGACCGCUGAGAUGUGUCUGAAACAGCUAGAAGGAAGACUCGAGUUGUGGAUCCAGGGCACUUCUGAACGGAA